UUGAAUCUUUAGAUACUGUAAUUCGUCGCUAGUGAGUUGUGUUUCUGAAAUAAAUAUUAGGUACAUAAUAUAGAUUAUUAAACCAAAUCUAUUCUGAUUGUCCGAAAAUUCGUGAUUUCAUUCAAGGUGAAGCCGUAAUAAUGCAAAACACACACACCCAGCCGAGGCGCCAGCGGGGGCCGCGCAUCAGGAAGUCCAAGCAGCCAGGGCCAUUCCUCGCUCCGAAGACUAACGGAUUGGACGAACGAUCCGCUAUGGCUAGACGUGUUUGACGUAGAGUGUGAGGAACUUGUGCUCUCUCACCCAAUCAAAGAGUUCGCACCGGACUCCGCCGGAUUUGAGUCAUUGAUCGAGGAAGAGUACAAAGCAAUUUGUAACGCUGAGAAAGCAUUUGUUGUCCCCCAGUCAGUCUACAGCCACUUCCAUCACAUACUCUUGUGGUACCGGUUCGCUUUGCACGCAAUCAUGAAUGGGUCAUCAUCCCUUGCUCAACAGCAGCUCGUGAAUGUUGUGGGCUCACGUCACGUCGUUGUCCCCGCGGGCGCCGCCGCUUACCUCUCCGGCUUGGGCGACUUCGAGGACAUGACAGGCGUCCCUCAUCGUAUGGUGGCAACAGAGCCAAAUGCCCAAGGCCACUUCGGACGGGCGACCGCCGAGACACACGGCUUGUACGAAACCCUCCCCGCUCCCGCUGUAUCUCUACAGCGUGUUCUAGAAGAUCUGCAAUACACGCAGGAUCGCGGACGUGACCCGACAUGGGACAUCGCGGCCAUACAUCCGCAGGAGACCGUCGCAGACGACUCCAAACAUGGAGAUGAAGAGACAGCCGAGCAAGAAGACGCAGACGUCGCUUGCGCCGCACUCGUUGACGAAGACAUCGCGGCACCACGACCCGCAUUCCCUCAUCGCCAGCCGAACCGGCCAACAGUUAACCUUCUUGGUUGGAGGCCCGCAAGGCUACUUAACGCUAAACAGGUCCACUUGUUGAGUGGAUUGGAUUUGGAUGCAUCGGUAACUGACUUCACUCAAGUAAGGAGGACCAUCCCAACCUACGGCUUUUGUCCUGAACUGUUUGAGCUAGUUCUAGAGUGUAUUCACGAGGUGAGGAACUAUAAGACUGUUCCCCUUCCCAAGGACACCGGCGGCUCAGUCGCCCAACAGGUCGUCUGGGAGCCAGUGCCGGAGCCAGGGUCUCAGCCGCUCAGUUACCUGGAGCGCCAGUGUGAUGAACAAGGACGCAUAACCUCCCGCACGAAUAUGCCCCUCCGUCUUGCCACGGGCGGUAAAGUGAUGUGCUACCGUACACUCCGACGAGCAGCCGGUGACAGAGAACCAUAGGCGUGCUAUGGGUUCAACCACUAUAAGGAGGUGCCGCACAAUUGGCGAGCGAAUUGCAACGACCUUGUAGUAAACGGCCUUAAAGGUCUGGUCGAGACUAGGCCCUUCUACGGCUUGAUAGCCUACCGCAGAGACACCCUCGUGGAGUUCUUGAGAAAACUCAAUCACAGAUUAUAUAAUUAGAAAAAUAGUCGGUCGAACAUUUGAAAUAUGCAUUUACAUUUAAAUACUGUUAUUAUGCCAGAUAGGUAUAUUUACUUGUAAUAAUAUAUUUAUGAUAAUUUAAAUAUACGCAGAUCCUCGCUCAUAUAAAUUUUAACAAUUACAUUCUAUAUAACUUCUUUACUUUAUUUUGUCCUUAUGAACAUGAGAAUAUGUCGACAUUAAAUGCAAUAGAUUCAAUUCAAAGGUUACGUUUUAUUUGAUACGUCAUUAUAAUAAUAAUGAAAUCCGACCUUAGUAUUUUCAAUAUUAACCACCAGCUAAUGCACAUGUUGAAAAAGCUCGUGAACCUUACUUCCUAAAAUUAUUUUGUUCAAAACUUUAUUAUUUUAUAUAAAAUGUUGCCGUACCCUUGCAGAACGUCACAGAUUGUCUACCUGAGUCCUGAAUAUUGUGCCACCAUUUUUGAACUAUGUAUUAUAAUAUACUAGCUGACCCGGCAAACGUUGUUUUGCCAUAUAAAUUGUAUUGAUAUCCUUGCUAGUUGAUAAGAGAUGGCGCUAGUUGUAUUAAUUAGUAACAAUCACACUUCUUUUAUAUUUUGUAUAAUUCACACUAUAGUUUUAUAAAUUAUAGCCUAUAUGUUAUUCUGGUGUGUAAGCUAUAUUAUUGUAAAGUUUCAUCAGAAUCUAUUCAGUAGAUUUUGCGUUAAAGAAGUUCAAACAUACAUCCAGACAUACAAACUUUCACAUUUAUAAUAUUAGUAGGAUUCUUUGAUAAUAAUGUGGCUUGCAAUAAUAGAAUGAUUUAGUUUUGAUGUCUACUAAGUGUACAGUAUAUACACAGAGUAUGUAACACGUACACAUUAUUAUAACAUUGACCUUGUGAUACGCUCGCCGCCAUUUUCACUGUCAUUUUCGUUUGCACAUAAUAAUUGUUUGUAUUAUGUUUAUUUCUAUAUCCUCUUUAGUGAACUAUGCAAUAUACAGUAAGUCUGUUUGUAUGUAAGUAACAUCGAUCAUUUUUAGUUAUUUCCAUAGUAAAACAUCUAAUUAUUAUUAUUCAAAGGUAAUAAUACCAUAAACUUAUAUCUAACAAUUUGCAUAAAAUCUUAAAAAAAAGGAAAUAUCUGAAGCAUGUAAAAAAGCUUUUCCUUCUUUAAUAUAAUAUAUUUUUGGUACUGAAA